CCUCUCCCUGUAGAAGCAGACUCAGCCUCGACAUGAUGAGGUCACAUGCAAGCUUCCCCUGGCACAGUGGUUCAUUCUUCAACCUGCCCCCUUGGUAUUGCAACACCUCGCUCCUGGACAACCCCCGCGCACCAUGAGCUUCACGCUGCCAGGAAAUGGGGAUGAGCACAGGCAGGCCCCGCGCCUGCCCGGAGGGAGCUGUAAGCAGAGGAAGGUGAAGUGGCCUGAAGAAAUGUCUGUACUGGAGACAGUCGGGGCUGUGUGCCUCUGCCUGACGCAACAUCAUUUCAGACGUGGAGGAAGGAUCUGUUGGCAGAUCUUGGGACUCAAAUGGGCUGGACUUCUAAGAAAAAAUAUACCCAGGCCUCUCUAUUCCACCAAUUUUCAUUCUUUCAUACAUACAUAUUUAUUUAUUUAAACAGACUUUAUAUUUUAGGCAGUUUUAGUUCACAGCAAAUUUGAGCAGAAAAUGCAGAGGUCCCAUAGACUUCCUUACCCAACAUACCCACGGCCUCCCGCUCUGUCAACACCCUGCAGCUGAUUCAUCUGACAGUCGAUGAAACGAUUCACACAUCAUUAUCACCCAAAGUCCAUCAUCUACAUUACAGACUCUUGGUGUCGUACAUUCUGUGCGAUUUGACAAAUGUACAAUGACGUGUACCUGCCAUUGCUGUGUCAUACAGAGUAAUUUCAGCGCCUGAUAAUCCUCCAUGCUCCGCCUGCUAACCUCUUCCUCCCCCAACCCCUGGUCCCCAAGGCUUUGCUUUUUCCAGAGUGUCACAUAGUUGGAAUCGUACGGAACAUAGCCUUUUCAGAGCGGCUUCUUUCACUUAAUAAUACGCAUUUACCUUUCCUCCAUGUUUGUUCACGGCUUGAUAGCUCAUUUCCACUGAAUAAUAUUCCAUGGUCUGGAUGUAGCCAUUUUCAUAUAUUUUUAAGAAGACAGACUGUUUCAUGGGGCGACAUGAUUUGUUAAUAACUAGUAUUAUAAUUAAACUUACAAUAAAAGAAAUACGUGGCUUAAAUAAAACAACCGUAUAUCAACCCUAUCAAUACUGAGGCUAUGAUUAUCCUUCUGGUUGCAGUAAGUAAACUGAAGCACAGAGCAACCCUGAUUUACCCACAGCAGAUGGUCAGUGAUGUGAGGGCCAUAGGAAGAACAGAAGGGGCCGACGCGGUGGCUCAGGCCUGUAAUCCCAGCACUGUGGGAGGCCGAGGCGGGCAGGUCACUUGAGGUCAGUAGUUUGAGACCAGCCUGGCCAACAUGGUGAAAGCCCAUCUCUACUAAAAAUACAAAAAUUAGCUGGGCGUGGUGGCGUGCUCCUGUAGUCCCAGCUACUUAGGAGGCUGAGGCAAGAGAAUCGAUUGAACCUGGGAGGUGGUGGUUGCAGAGAGCCAAGAUCACAUCACUGCACUCCAGCCUGGGUGGCAGAGCGAGACUCCGUCUCAAAAAAGAAACGAGUAAUAAAUAAAUAAAUAGAAAUGUAAAAAUAAAGGGAAAAAAAAGCACUGAACUAGAAGGAAAGUGCACCUAGUCUACUUUCAGGGAAUCCUUCGGGCUCUGAGAGAAAUCUGACUCAAAAACUAAUUUUAGACCAGAAAUUCAACGCAGUAGUUGAAUUCAUACAACUCAGUAGUUGAGUUCAUACAGUUCUCUCUAGAAAAGGUCUACACACAACCAAAUACAAAUGAAGCUAAAUUUCCACAAAAAACAUUAAAGCUACAUCUAAUUUUUGAUGAAGUGUUGCAGAGACCACCCCCCACUUCCGUCCUAAUGGUUUGAGACACGUUUUCUUUUUUUUUUUCUUUUCUUUUUUUUUUUUUUUUUUUAAUAUACAGUAUCGCUGUGUCACCCAGGCUGGAGUACAGUGGCACAAUUUCGGCUCAUCGCAACCUCUGCCUCCUGGGUUCAAGCAAUUAUCGUGCCUCAGACUCCCAAGUAGCUGGGAUUACAAGCAUGCACCACCACACCUGGCUAAUUUUUUUAAUAUUCUUAGUAGAGAUGGGGUUUCGCCAUGUUGGCCAGGUUGGUCUCGAACUCCUGACCUCAGUUGAUUCACCCACCUUGGCCUCCCAAAGUGCUGGGAUUACAGGUGUGAGCCAUCACGCCUGGCCGAGACAUGUUUUCAAGCCUUGAGGUGCAUUCCAGUACACCCAGCUCACUUUGUAAUAUCUGAAUUUUCCUGAGUCAAGGUUUAAAUUCCACUUCAAUGAUAUGGGCCACAGUAGUAAAAAGUGUGGUGUUUGCAUCAAUGUCUGUGUAAGGACUCUACUCGAAUUAGGAUGAGCCCGUUGACAAUGGAGCCUGAUUUCCUGCAUUCAAAGUGUUAUCUAUACAGUGUCAUUCAUGUGAGUCCAUUAAUAGUAUUUGGUAAUGAGGAGGAGGGUGGGAAGGAUGGGAAAGGCAUUCCCGGGGAACAGCCAGCACCUUGGUUCAUGUGAGCUGCCCAGUGAUGCUGAUGCUAUAGCUUGACUAACACAUCACUGUUCCCAACCCCCUUCUCGCUUGCCAUCUCCACUCAGGAGGCUGGGAAAGCCAGAUGCACCUGGCCCAGUUCUACCAAAGGACACACACGUGCAUGCCUUCCAAAGGCCCUCGAGGAGAGGUCUUGCUUUUCUUCAAUAAGAGACAGAUAGGACUAGAAAUGCCCCUUCCCCUUCUUCCUACCUUGACUCUGGGUGUGAUUCCCAGAGCAGCGGCAGCCAUUUAUGACCAUGAGGUGACCAGCAACUUUUGAAGCCACUAGUAGCUUCCAGUAGGACACUGGAAAUGCCUAGAAUAUCAAUAAACCAAAGAAGACCAGCUAUGCUAUUACAACUAUCUCCUGGUCCUGCUACCUUCAGCAAAUAUAAUGGAACAAGACGUUAAAAAUGAUUCUGUUUUGGCUGGGCACAGUGGCUUACGCCUGUAAUCCCAGCACUUUGGGAGGCUGAAGCAGGCAGAUCACCCAAGAUCAGGAGUUCAAGGCCAGCCUGGGCAACAAGGCGAAACCCUGUCUCUACUAAAAUACAAACAUGAGCCAGGUGUGGUGGCACAUGCCUGUAAACUCAGCUACUUGGGAGGCUGAGGCAGGAGAAUUGCUUGAACCCAGGAGGCAGAGGUUGCAGUGAGCUGAGAUCCAGCCGCUGCACUCCAGCCUGGGUAGAUAGAGCAAGACUCUGUCUCAAAAAAUAAAAAUAAAAAAGAUACUGUUUCAAUUCUGGCAAAACUCCUGAGGCGGAAAACAAACCAGUAGGUGCCAACAACUCCAAUGUUCUGAAGUGAGGUACUGAACCAGCUCACCGGGGCCUGCAAAGAGGCUUCCGGGAACCUGUGACCGCCCCUAGGGCAGAAGGUGGCAAGGUCAAGAGAGGUUAGAAUGAGAGAUGACUUUUUGUUUGUUUUUUUUUUGAGACAGAGUUUCGCUCUUAGUGCCCAGGCUGGAGUGCAGUGACGCCUAUCUUGGCUCACUGCAGCCUCCACCUCCGAGGUUCAAGGGAUUCUCCUGCCUCAGCCUCCUGAGUAGCUGGGAUUACAGGCGGCUGCCACCACGCCUAGCUAAUUUUUUCGUAUUUUUAGUAGAGACGAGGUUUCACCAUGUUGGCCAGGCUGGUCUCAAACUCUUGACCUCCUGACGGGUGAUCCGCCUGUCUCAGCCUCCCAAAAUGCUGAGAUUGCAGGCGUGAGUCACUGCGCCUGGCCGACAGAACUUCUUUUGAGACAGUGCUUGGAUGCUGGGGUACUUUUCUUCCCCAUCCCGUCCCUGCUGUGGAUGAAACAAGGGGGGCCUAGUAAGAAGGACUUCAAGGAGACCCUUCAGAGAGCUGUCAGAGGUACCCAAGAGCUUGGGGACCUGACAACUGGUGUCUGUCACCUGCCUGAGAAAUCCUAAAGGCAAGAAGACCUGAAGUCAAAACAAGAAAAGGUGAGGCUGAGUGCAGUGGCUCACACCUGUAAUCUCAGCAUUUUUGGGAGGCCCAGGCGGGAAGAUCGCUUGAUUGCAAGAGUUCAAGACCAGCCUGGCCAACAUAGCAAAACCCCAUCUCUACAAAAAUACAAGAAUUAGCCAGGUGUGGCAGUGCACACCUGUAAUCUCAGCUACUAGGAAGGCUGAGGCAUGAGGAUCAUUUGAACCCGGGAGGCAGAGGUUGCAGUGAACCGAGAUCGUGCCACUGCACUUCAGCCUGGGCAACAGAGCGAGACUCUGUUUCAAAAACAAACAAACAAAAAAAGAACAAGGAAAGGUGGCUUCCCUGGGGAGAGUGCCACCUCCUGGGACAAAGGAUGCAUGAGUGCUUCCCAUGGACUGGACACGGACCCUGAGAAGGAACUGCCCAGGGGGGCCACCAGGAGAAAUGGCUGAGCCAGGGAACCCAGGCGUCCGCUGAAGAUGUCCUCACCCCCUCAAGUGAGCAACACCCCAGCUUCCAGGAAGUCUCCAAGGAAUGCUUCAGCCCCUCACAGGAGAAAAAUUCGCUUGAAAUAUUUACACAGCCAAAGGAAAUGAUGGUGGGGGCUGACAGGGGUACCGCCCCUCCUCCCACUUCACCCUGCAGGAGUCCAGGCAGCCCAGGGAGUGGGAGGGAGGCCGGCAGACAGGAAGGCUACUGGCUGGGAAGAAUUUUAACUUCAAGGGGUCCCUGUCACAAACAGAGCACUGUGGACUUGAAGUGACCGGAGGAUUUUUCUUAUCCAAGAGCUGCUGGAAGGUCACAUGGCUGUGAGAGAUUUCAUCUUAGGACUGGGGGCAAACCAGCCCCCACCCCACCCAGCAAUGCAUCCUGCUGGAACUGGGAAGAUUGGCUCAGACUGAGUUCCAAACUACGUAUCGGCUGGUGAGAGAUGAACUGGGUCUUUGCACCAGACAAUCUUGUUGAAAAUCACCAGACCAAAAGUAGCUGAUGCUUAUCUGUCUCUGUCGAAUUCCCAGGAAUCCUGCGGGUGGCGGGGGCGGGAGGGGGGGUCUGAGCCCACGUGGGAAGCCUUGUUAGCCUGUGCCUGGGGGCGUCAGAAGAGGGAGAUUGGGCAAUUUCUGCUUCUUCACUCCCGCCACCCUCAUCUCGCUUGGGGCUCACUCUUUCCAAGUUCUCUUGGUCCCUUUGCCAAGGCAGGGGAGACCCAGCCAGGAUAUUUAUAGUGUUGGUACAUGACUGGGCAGCUAGUGGGAGCAGAUGUUUUCUGAUAUGGGCAAAGGGAGCUAUUUCUACUGGGAGCUGGAUGAAAGUUAGCCAGAAAGGAAGCCGCAGCCAUAACUGAUGUUCCUGUCCUCUCAACACUGGAGAAGGUACCCCACAUCCUUACAUGAGCGUGUUCCCCGUCCUCACUGCCUUAACAGCUCAAUCCAGGAGAUGUGGACUGUGCCAGGCGCUGGGUGGACACUGAGAUAAAUAAGACAAGGCCC
rnacentral:lncRNA from 10 species